rnacentral:tRNA from 1 species
GAAAAAAAUCUGCGAUAACAAGAAGCUUCUAACUUUUUAGUUGGGGGGUUGAAUUCCGUCCUUUUUUCU